AAUCAACGCUGGCGGCGUGCCUCAGACAUGCAAGUCGAACGAUUAAAGCUCUCUUCGGAGAGUGUAUAGAGUGGCGCACGGGUGAGUAACACGUAAGUAAUCUACCUUUGAGUGGGGAAUAACCCGGGGAAACCCGAGCUAAUACCGCAUAAUGCAGCGGCAUCGCAAAGAUGACAGUUGUUAAAGGAGCAAUCCGCUUAAAGAGGAGCUUGCGGCAGAUUAGCUAGUUGGUAAGGUAAUGGCUUACCAAGGCUACGAUCUGUAUCCGGUCUAAGAGGACGGUCGGACACACUGACACUGAAUAACGGGUCAGACUCCUACGGGAGGCAGCAGUCGGGAAUUUUGGGCAAUGGGCGAAAGCCUGACCCAGCAACGCCGCGUGAAGGAUGAAGUAUUUCGGUAUGUAAACUUCGAAAGAAUAGGAAGAAUAAAUGACGGUACUAUUUAUAAGGUCCGGCUAACUACGUGCC
rnacentral:rRNA from 1 species